CCCAUUUCAUUAAUUGAGUCUUAUGAUGUAUAUUUAUAGGAAGAUAGAUAUAAGUUGUUAUGCAAUGAUUUAAAAGAAAAUGAUCAAAACCUGGGAGAGAAGAGGACCAUCCACCUAAUUAAAGCUUCUUAUACUGCAGUCCCGGCACUCCUAAUUCACAAUACAGACUGGGAGUAUUUGAGGCAGCUAUACGGCAGGGUUCUUUGGCAGUUGAAGAGUUGUUAUAUUUACAAUUGCAUGAAUAAAAAGUCGACAAUGCGUUGUAUAUAUAAUAGUGAUAACAAUAACUACUAAUAACUUAACACUUAAUAAUAACUAUACACUUAAUAA